AAGUCGUAACAAGGUAACCGUAGGUGAACCUGCGGUUGGAUCAUUAUCACGUAUCCACGUAUAAACCAUCGCGAACUGUACCUCCCUUUGGGAGAGUGGGUGAGUGUUGAGCGAAGCACAUGAGACUCUUUACUGUGAUUUAAAGUCUCGCUUCAAUCGGCCUUGGGUUUUGCUUUUCUCUUCGGAGGAAAAAUGAACCCACAUCUGUUCUCUUCGAAGCGUAUUUUUAAAUCACACUUGUUUAUUAACAAUUUGAACAAAACCUUUAUAACUUUUGAACUGACUUGUUUCUUCCUCUUCGGAGAAGAAAUGUAAUACGAAACAUAAGAACAACUCUUAGCAACGGAUAUCUUGGUUCUC
rnacentral:misc_RNA from 1 species